rnacentral:rRNA from 2 species
UGCAAGUCGAGCGGACAGAAGGGAGCUUGCUCCCGGAUGUUAGCGGCGGACGGGUGAGUAACACGUGGGUAACCUGCCUGUAAGACUGGGAUAACUCCGGGAAACCGGAGCUAAUACCGGAUAGUUCCUUGAACCGCAUGGUUCAAGGAUGAAAGACGGUUUCGGCUGUCACUUACAGAUGGACCCGCGGCGCAUUAGCUAGUUGGUGGGGUAAUGGCUCACCAAGGCGACGAUGCGUAGCCGACCUGAGAGGGUGAUCGGCCACACUGGGACUGAGACACGGCCCAGACUCCUACGGGAGGCAGCAGUAGGGAAUCUUCCGCAAUGGACGAAAGUCUGACGGAGCAACGCCGCGUGAGUGAUGAAGGUUUUCGGAUCGUAAAGCUCUGUUGUUAGGGAAGAACAAGUGCGAGAGUAACUGCUCGCACCUUGACGGUACCUAACCAGAAAGCCACGGCUAACUACGUGCCAGCAGCCGCGGUAAUACGUAGGUGGCAAGCGUUGUCCGGAAUUAUUGGGCGUAAAGGGCUCGCAGGCGGUUUCUUAAGUCUGAUGUGAAAGCCCCCGGCUCAACCGGGGAGGGUCAUUGGAAACUGGGAAACUUGAGUGCAGAAGAGGAGAGUGGAAUUCCACGUGUAGCGGUGAAAUGCGUAGAGAUGUGGAGGAACACCAGUGGCGAAGGCGACUCUCUGGUCUGUAACUGACGCUGAGGAGCGAAAGCGUGGGGGAGCGAACAGGAUUAGAUACCCUGGUAGUCCACGCCGUAAACGAUGAGUGCUAAGUGUUAGGGGGUUUCCGCCCCUUAGUGCUGCAGCUAACGCAUUAAGCACUCCGCCUGGGGAGUACGGUCGCAAGACUGAACUCAAGGAAUUGAC